UAGCGUGGGGAUGCCCUGGAAAGGACUGGCCGCCGAGGCGGUGGGGGCAGGGCCAGCCUCCCGGCCUCCCCGCGCCUCGCUGCAGGUUUUGAGAGACUGCAGGGUGCCUAUGAGCUAAGCAUCUCUUGAUUUUUAAAAAAUGACUAAGAACGUAAUUAAAAAAAAUGUUUUGAUCCAAAAAGAGACUCGGUGGAGAACCAUCUGAAUAAUUGCAAUGUGGGGCAACGGAUGCCAGCGACAACAUAGUGAGGACGGAAGCGGGGGCGCUGGGAGGGGCCCGCGAGGCCCGGAGGCUCCGCCGAAGGCCCCGCUCGGCGUCGUGGCCAGGGCCCGGCCGCUCUGGCACUGGCGUAUAAGACCCAAGAUUAUCGAAACGCAUGCGCUAACUGUAUGAACUCAACACACGCACACGCGCACACACACACACACACACUCACAAGCCCCCCGCCAAAAUCUUUUGGUUGCUUAGUAAAAACAACAGGGUAAAGAUUCUGUUUUGAAACUCAGUGUCUGCCUCGUACCAGAAAAUCAUGUCAAGACAGUGGCCCGCUGCCACUUUGACUCUGCCGUCCCUAUUCCGAUUCCGAUCCUGGGGCUGGGGCACAGGAUGUGAGCUCACUCAGAGCAAGUCCCUAUGCACGGGUGGGACGUAAAGCCCGGCGACAGGGUGUCUGGAAUGGGCCACCCCAGCAGGGCACCCAGUGCAGACACGGCACCUGCCGAGAGGUCCUCAGGGCCCAGCCUCAGAGGAGGCGACGGGGCAGACAGACGUGGUGCGCGGCCGUGGGCGGGAGUCGCUCUUGCUACUCCAGGAGCUGAAGUCAGCCACCCCGAGAAGGGGCUGCUGUCACGGCCGGGUUGGCGUGAGGCAGAGCGGCCGGCGCAGGCCCGGACGGCGCAGGGCCGGCAUCUGUGCGUGUCGGAGCUGGGACACAGUGGGCCGCAUGGCCAGCACCACUUUUGAAGGCGGUGUCUCUGGGCGUGCGAGGGGAAGUCUCCUUGGCUUUUUCUUCCCGCUCUGGGAGCAAGAGACAGAGCACUUCCUUACUUGGGGUUCGUUGCCCCAGAAAACCUGUCCGUCUUUCUCCCCUGGUAACUGAGGUGUUAGUGCCUCUCUGCCGUCCGCGCCCACAUCAUGCUCUGAGACACUGUUCAAACAAGAGGAAGCUCUCGCCUGCCUCCCAACGUCAGAGGCAGGUGCGGAGGUCCUGACCUUGUCCAGGAAUCCUCCCUGGGCGGUUCCCUUUGUCUCUGAGACAGGGGAACAGCCUUUGGGAGUGGGGGAGGCCCCUGCACUCCCCCAUCCCUUUUGGACCAAGCGAGAAGGACUGGCUCUGCGAGGUCUAGAGAGUGCGCCCUGCCCUGCUCGGUGCCGCCUGGGGCUCUGUGGAACCUCUUGGCUGUUCACGGCGGGAUCAUGAGUCACGCAUUUCACAAGCAUUUUUCGAAAAGGGGAAACACCUCCCUGCUUGAAAUGUGGCUCUCCUAUGAAAAGAGAUGGUGUCAAAACACCAAGCAAUGCAUCCACUCCCUGUGUUCCUUUCGUCCUUCGCGGUUGAUUCUAUUUUGAGGACCAGAAAUCAAAAGUUAGAAGCCUGAAGCCCAAUCCUGUUAUAAAGCAAAAAGCUGAAUUCUCUCUGGGCUGGCCCAGGAGCAAGCAAAUUAGCGCCUCCUCUAAUGGAAGGGUCAGGGCCCAGGCCGGAAGGAACACAACCUGCUCUGUAGAUUUAGAGAGAAAUGUGUUGAACCUGAACUUAAAAAAAAAAAAAAAAGACAUGAAACUCGCGUGGCCCACACCUUGUGACGAUGACACGGAGAUGAUCGGAAUGCGGCCCGCCCCCCCUCAGUUGUCAUUUUUAGCAGCGGCUCCCUCACACAGUCAUUUUGCCAUAAUAGCAUGUUCAUUUGGGUUUGAGCCUUGAGGUCCCAAAGCAACCGGUCAGCUGCGUCCCACGCACUUCCCAUCACUGCCCCGAGGCCCAGGCCCUAAGGCCGCGUCUGCAUCUUUGCUCCUACAUCUAACUGAGGCUGAGAACUUUCUCCCAGGACACGAGAGGGCGAGGCGGGGUCAGAUGUCAGGGGCUGUCGGGAUAGAUGAUUCAGCCCGUUUCCGCAGACUUCUCGAGAUGCCUUCCGAAACUCUGUUGAAAAUAUCUUGUGUGAUCUUGUAACAAAUUAAACAAAAGACAAACCACCAAGUGCCUGCCUGUUUGAGGAGAAUAACCACAAAACUGUGAUUCACGGUGACCUAUUGUGGGGGAGGAGAAGCUGGCAUGCUCAGUUAAAUUCUAACGCUGCAAACCCCAGCUCACCGCAUUCCUUUCUGGGACUUUCUGAAAGGCUGGCUGCAUGUUAACAGCCCUCAGGCUCAUCACACUGAAACACCAAUGAGGGUCUCAGGAAGCACAGCCCACCUUAACUGGCCGCAGAGUCUUCUGUUUCCAGUGAAUCGGGGGAUGGAGGACACGGGCUUGUUUUUUUGUUUUUGUUUUUGUUUUUGUUUUUACUUUGUUUUAAUUUUAGGAGCUCAGUAAUCACUUCGACAAUGAAAACAAUGACCUCAACGCGUGGAAGUCUGUUUUCUUCCCAAACACUCACACCCGCAUUUCUUUGCCGACUUACUCACGGAGCAAAACAAUAAGCAGAUCUGGUUUUCACCAGCGUGACGACUGGCCGGACUUGCCAGCGUUCACGGAAUGUCGAACACAGCCACUCCUUCUGCCCUCUGGUCCCUGCCGAUGGCGUUGCCCGGGUUCUUCCUUGGGGCUGGAGAGGAGGGGCUCUGUGCUCCCCAUCUCAGGACCCACCAUCACAAAGGAGUGAGUAUGUCCAAGCUGCCCCGCCCUGCCCAGCGCACGGCCGCGUUUACCCGGCGACCGACCGGCAGAAGUCGCGCCAUGCUCACUGGCUCCGCACACACACACACGCACACACACACAAGUCCUUUUCUGUGCGAUGGCUCCCUCCCGCCCCACUCGGAAGGCGAUUCCCAGCGUCCGGGGACUGUCCUGUCCCCCACGCGUUUCGAGUUAUGCACUCUGCUGAGGAAGCAGCGACAGAGCUUUGGCUCAGCCCUGAGCUGCUGCUGUGCUGCUCCUCCUCCCGGAGCAGGAAUCUGGCCGGCAGAGGGUCCCUGCCUGCGAAGGGGUGCACAGUCGGGGACUCGGCCACACUCUGCGAGGAGGCACCUCGUGUAUGUACAGUCACGUGUCUCCUGUUGAGUUUUAUUCCUGAAGUUCGCUUAAGGCUGAAGUUGCAUUUUCACAAGCAACGUGGAAAAAGACUGCCCGCCUUAGAUGUCAGCCUGCCCGUGAGGCCAGCAGCAGCACGCCUCUCUGCGCGGACCGCCCUGAGUGUCGGUCGCCUUCUAUCUGUGGCCAGGAGAAAGUCCGUGUGCACGAGAUUGUUUUUAAAAAGGUGUGUAUCGCCUUGACGGUUGUAAAACUAUACUAACCUUAACUUCACCUUGCCCAUGACUGGGGCUGAGCGUCUGGAAACUAGAUCUUAGUUAAUUUUUGAAUCCAUCCCCUACGAGCCAGGUGCACAAACCAGUCCAAGUAAACUCCAGAGCUCAGUGAACUUAUGAUCUUCCUACUGCUUAGAAAAAAGCAGGUGGGGGAGCUCGUUGCAAGGCCGCGUGUGGAAAGCGGGGAUACCUGUCUGACGGAGUGGGCAGGGAGGACAGCGAAGUGAGGGAGCGGUUCGGCAGUGACCCCCAAGCAUUUUCUUUCCCAGGAGACACGCAAACGCAUUUGCGAAGAGUCUGUGUGUCACACUUUCCUUGUUGAUGAAAUGUUGAUAGUCAUUUGCCUUAACAGAGCCUAGGGAGGUGUUGAAAGAAACCAAUGAGCUCAUGGUUAUGGAAACAGAUUUUGCAAAUGCUGUAUAAACACGAUGCUGUCACCACCUAUGUGGUUUCAUAUUGCUUCGACUUCAAUUAGGACUUCAUUUCAAAGCUACUGAUAAUUUGUGAUCAUUAAACGCACGUGUGUGCAUGCACACACACGCAUGCACACAAUCAAAAGGAUAAAAUCAUUAUAUAGAUUUAAAAUGAAUGCAUGUUGAAAAAUUAUAUUUAACUCAUGUGGUGUGAGGGAACCAGGCUGAUGUGACAGCCCAUCCAAAGAAGUUGAAACAGACAAAUGAGUGUGGAAUGAAGGAGGGUUGAGAACGGAACUGCGGGGUGGGAAAAGGAAGUCAAUUAAAUCGCCAGGGAAGAACAGAAUCUGCAUAUUUGUCAAUUAGCUGUAACAUGCGAAGACCUGCAAAAACCCCCCACAGUGAGAGACAGCCAGUUAGAAUCUGAGCACCCAGGGAUGUGCUCUAGGCCUGCGGCUUCCCACCAGACCUUGACCUUUUCUGCACACACAAUCCAGAUUCUCAAGAUCAGGGGCUGGCACACUAGGGGGCGUGGGCCAAAGCCAGUCUGGAGCCUGUUUUUGUAAACAGGUUUUCCUGGAGGACAGCUGCUCCUGUUCAUGUGUGUCCUGUCUGUGGCUGCCUUUGGUGCCAUAACAGGGCUGAGCAGCUUCUGCAGAGGCCACCUGCCCGCAAGGCCUGAUGCGUUCACUGCGCAGCCCUCCCCAGCAGGUCUCUCACCCUGCUUCGUAACAGCACGUCGAGCUCUGAACCGCGGUUAGCUGUGCGUGUAGCUCUUCAUUAAAGAGCAUGCGGGCAGGGUACUGUGCUCGCACGUCGGUGAAAUUCUUCUUUGCAGUGGACAUCUUUCUCCAGAAAGCCAAACGUUUGUGGUUCUCGUUACCCGUGGUACCACAGAAGCCCAGCUGCCACCAACCCUUUCUAUUCCUUUGGGUUCUAUGAAAUGUUUUAGUUCUAACGAGUUGGCAAACGGAGAUAUUGCUGUCCGAGUUCUACGGAGAUGCUGAGCCCACCGUGGGCGUCUCUGCCAAACAGGUGUGUCUGGCGGUCCCUCAACCCCAGGGUGUCUCCUUCUGCCACUGUACCCACGAUACAGGCCGGCGUCCGGGCUCCCGAAGCCAUCUCCAACUUAGCCAGCAACGCCGGGGGCUCCUGGAACAGCAGCACUAACGUCCAGUGGUACGAUCAGCAACGCCGGGUUUAACAUGCACGCGAGCCUGGAGAGGGCGGGUAGAGAUAGGGAAAUCGUUCCAUUAUUUUCGCUUCCGGUUUCGUUGUGAUACCGCGGAUUUGAAGGGGCAGGGGUGUCCCGGAGACCACACUUCGCGGUCUCCCCGAGCGCCUGCGGCCCCGCAAGGCGGCGCAUCCUGUGGCCCAACUCACGGCCUAGCGCACGUGCUGGUAAGUGCCCGGCUCCCCGCAGCACCACGGGGACUGGAGCUCUGAGGGACCAGCCCAGGAAGAAAGACGAUAUUUAGGCAACUGCCAUUUCCGUGGGUGAUAAAGCGGCCUUUACCUCCGACCCAGGAUCUCACAUCUUCUGCCGGCCACCAGCGUCUGCAGCGGGCUGACAUUUCAGCUUGCGAGUCGGCUAAAAUCACAGGCUCUUCGCAGCUCCCGACGAGAAGAAAUCAUCCCAGGAAUAGAAAGAAGUGAUGCACAGAGAGGCGGUCUUUUUUUAUCUUUACCUAGAGCCAGACUGGCCAUUUCCCAUCUUAGGACAAAUGCUCCAAAGAAUGCUUCAUGCACACACCUGUAAAAGGGCCUGGGUCUCCCUGCCUUGCAUAAGGACGCAGAAGCAGACGAUGCUGCAGGCAUGUUAGUUGCUAUGGGUUCUUAUUUUAGAGGCGGCCAAUUACACGCGAUAACUUAUUUAGACUAAGGCCUUUAUUUUCAUCUUUGUGUUUCUCUGUUACAGUUUUAGGUCUAUCAGCUCCACAUAAAUUCCAAAUGAUUCUUUAAAAGUUAACUCUGCUACCCAUGUUGCACCUUAAGCAUGGACCUACUUAAAAAUAUAUAAAAAUACAUGCAAAUGCUAAAGUCUGGAAUGGACUUCCUCUCUCUAGAAAGAAGCAAACAGCAGAUGAAAGUAUUUCGUCACCUGCCACGUAUACUCAGCCUUACCUGAGGUGUGGGAACUAGAUUUUAAACCUAAUUUUCAAUCCUGGUUGUUUCAUAUGGUGAUGACGUCAUGUCCAAACAAGGAUCUUGCUGAAUAUCGAAAGUGGAAAUAUAAACUUGGAGUUAAAAAAUUUAAAAAGCUAACUUUACCAUGCCUGGUACAACCAAUGUCAUCUCACCGAGGUGGUUCCACAAAAGUGCACGGGCUUCUGGGCUCCUGGUGAUGGAGUUGGUUGGCCCGGAGAAGCCGACGUUGGUGACGGGCUCCGGGGCUCUGUGGAAGGCCUGUGACUCGCCCUCCUAAGAACCCGCCUGAGGUGUGCGGGGAUGAGAAAGGCCGUUUCCCACAAGCGGUUUCGUCGUUCGACUUUAAUCUGAAGCGAAUUAUCAUCCCUCUUCAGUAAAAGCGAAGAAGUUCGGUCCUGCAGGGCACUUUUCAGAGUCAGAGAUGGCGCAUCAUGCCAGGACGUUAGCACCACGUUUGGUGUAUUUGGCUACAACAUGGCCCUUUUCGGUUUACAUGAUCACUAGAUAAGGCAACCGUGCCAUUCUCGUCAGCUGACAUGGCAGAGCCAGGCCCUUUGAAGUCGGAAGCUGUUAUGUCCAUCCCAAGCGUCACCAAGACCUCAGCCCCUGGCUCUCCUUUGCUGAGCACUCCCUCAGCAUCUCCAGCAGCAGUGAGCGUUCGCUAGGACUGAUUUCUGUCAAGGUCACCUUGAACUGGAAGGAAGAACGGGAAGGAAAUGGUAAAGCAUUUCAAAGUCUGCUGCCUAGUUUUUAUGAGAUCUAACGCAGCAUCUCCAUUUGACCAGGUGGCUUCUCCUCUUGAAGCAGGCAAUCCCCACAGACCUGUGACAUAAGUCCCGGAGUCGCCCCACAUUGCCGACGGAAACAGACACAGCACUGGAGAGCUCUCAGAGACCGGAUUCACGUCCUAAGCGACGAGGGACUGCAGGGGGUGAGGACAGCAGGUGCCCCAGGAGAAGCCAGGACGUGGCAUCCGACAGGACAGUGAGGGAGCUCGUGCAGCGUGUCCGCAGAGAAGCGACGCUGGCCGGUCCACCUCUCCGGCAGCUGAGGGGUGCAGACUCGUGCAGUCUGCACGCACCUCUGCCUGGGACGCUGGGGACGCGUCUGUCAGGAGCAGGGACAGCACCCAGUCACAGGACCGACCCGGGCCAGUGCCACCGUGGCCAGCAUGCGCCUUCCCUCAUCCUGGGAGGAAGACACGCCGCACAAUCUAAGACGUUUUCCUAACCACCAGAAGCAUUUUGGUGCUGCCAAAAUGUCCACCUAGUUCUCGUGGUUUCUUUAAACCCAUUUUUCUUUAAAAUAUAAAAUUAAAACGUCUAGUUCAAUGUGAACAGCUCUAAGACUGUUUCGGUAACGUGCCCUUCAUACUCGCAGCCGGAGCUGGCUCCUCCUAGGGCCCCCCUCGGCUCCCACAUGGUCAGCCCCUCUCUCCCCUGACGGUCGCAGAAGGCACAGACUCUAGAUUCUGCCAGAGGAGCUUAAUUGUCCCCUGGAAGAAGGCGUACAGGAGUAAAACAUUCUUGAAUUUAUUUAGUAUCUACUCUGUUAUUUUUCUCUGAAAUGGGUGGAGUACUUUUAAAUCUUCAUCUACGAAAUUGGGGAAGGAAGAAUCAGAGUUACAGAAAGCUGAAGGCAUCCAUCGAAUGGCAUAUAAUCUAUGGGCUAAAACUUUCAUUGAAAGGUCUUAGGUCGCUUUAGAAUGUCCAGAGACAUGAUCAGGUUUUAAACAGGUUUGAAGGACCGUGCUGUCGGAGGACAGUGUCGUCGGGACAGGCGUGUACAGAUGCUCCUCCACUCACGACGGGGUUACGUCCCCAUGAGCCCAGCCUGAGUCGCAGAUAUCAUUAAGUCAGAAAUGCAUGGCAUGCACCUGAGCCGCCGCACGUCACAGCUCAGCCUCGCCGACCUUACUCAGGACACUCGCGCGGGCCCACGGCUUCAUCGCACCAGGAAGGGCCUUCCUCUUCUGCUCACCAGGUGCAGGGGAGACAGACGCGUGUGUGACAGACGUCACGGGAGCAGAAGACACGACACGCGCGGCGUCCGAAAAGCCCUGGCAACACAGCGCGCUGCCGAGGGCGGCUGCUGCCCGAUCCUCCCCUGUCCAGAUUCACAGCAUCGCCCGGCUUCAGCGACUCUGAUACUUGGUCACAGUGGACAGUAACAGACCUGCGAGCGUUGACUGUCACCCGUGUCCCUAAAUUUCUAAUCGACCUCUGAACAACUACCCGCUGACUGGGACUUUCUCGGAGAUUCUCCCAUGAACAGCCCUGCGUUUCUCCUGGGAAGAGCUUUAGAAUGACCUCUGUUUAAUAGUGGCCUGGGUUCAAUUUUAAUUAGGCUGUAAGUGGUAAAUAUUUGCUAAUAGACUCGGGGGUGAAUAAUUAAUUAGUACAAAACUGCUGUGUACCGACAGUUUACAUGACUGAACUAAUAAAUCAAAUCCAAUAAAGUCUUAGUGAAAGUAAUUCUUUCGAACUUAAUUGCUAAAAAUUUAAGGUAUCUACAAAACUGUUGUUUAAAAAAAAAUAAAGGGUGAUUGUUCUUUAAAACUUUAUUACUAUAUUAACGGCUUAUAUAAAGAAGAUGUUCUUUCUGUUUUGUUACAUUAGUCCAAACAGCUAUCCCAUUAAAACAUAGUCAACUAGAUUUAGA